CUGUCCGUGAGCUGGGUACCCCACGCCUACCAUGCAAACCGAAUGCGAAGCUCCAAGACAGCCAGAGUCUGCAAGAGCCCCGAUGCUUGCCAGCUGACUGGGCAAGAGUCAGCAACAUGGAAAACCCAUAAUGGCCCCCAAAAAAACCCAAGCCCGCUGCAGAGGCAACAGGUAGAAGUCAGUGGAAAGGACUUAGGGGGCCUGAUUGCACAAGCCACCAGGCGGAAUCGAUCCCACUAUCCAGGAGACUACCGCACGUAUCCUGACCAACGGAACUCUGAAACGCUGAAACACUACUCCAAGAAAAACACCACAGCAGCCAAGCACGACGUGCGACACAGUCGGCCCCACACAUAAGCCACAUUAAGAGCAACCCGUGCGGAGGCACAUAGCCACAUAACACCGACCGUCAGAAAUACGGCCCGGAAAACAAUAACCUGCCGGGCGCAUUGCCAGUAGCCAGAAAGCCG